CUUAAUUAAGAAGUUUUUGCACGCGUCCUUAAUGCCACGCGUCAAGAUGAGUUUCUCUCUUCUCUCUCUCGUUGAUUCUCUCUCUCUCCGUUUCUUCUCCGCUUCACUCUCCACGACGAUCAUGAUGAUGAUCCAUGUGCUGCGGCGAAGUGGCGCGGAUGUAAAGGUGGCGUCCGUCGAGAAUCAGGUCGGCGUUGAUGCUUUCCAUGGAAUGUGUACAGAACAAUUAGGGAUUCGAUUGAACAGAAAAUCUCUUUAUAUGCAUUGAUUUCAGAUUUUGAAUUCUUUAGUAUCAGAGAAACAAAAAAAAAAGUUGGGUUCUUCACCAAGCAAUCGAGCAACUUCUCUCCAUCAAUCUCCGAAGAAGAGAGCUUCUAAAAAGAGACAUAUCUGCCUCCACCCCAGUAAAGGAGCUUUGGAUCGUCGAUUAUGGUUAAUGCCUUAGAUUUGCAGAGCUUUAUCCUCCGAGCUCGAGUGCUUAAACUUUACAGGCACACAUUGAAGAUAGCUCAUAGAGCUCCUCCUCAGUUUAGAGAGUAUUAGGCAAGAGAUGGAGAAAAACAGUGAGUGCAAGGACAAGCAAAAGAUCAGGCAAAGGCUUAUGAGAAUCCUAGUGAAGCGAGGGAUCAAUCUUUUCUCAUUUUCAUCUAAUUUGGUCUUCUUAAUUUGUUUGUCUCUGGUUCUUAAUUAAUUUGUUUGUUACCAUGCGAGUGUAGUUUAUCAUUCUCGCCUUACCUCUAUGCAGGUAUGUUGUUUAACCUAAAGACCAACAAAAGUCCCACCAAUAAUCACCAUUUUCAUUAAAAAUCCUUAA